rnacentral:lncRNA from 1 species
UCGUGGAUUCAGGAAUGUCAGGGAGAAUGUGAAGCUGUGGUAUGUUUUCCUAAAGAGGUGUGGUUGAUUCGUAAGUGAAUAUCUUUGAAGGAACUUGACAGAACAAACAUGUGUCAGUGCUACCUUCAUGAACUUGAUGUUGUCUGGGAGCAAUGCUGGAACCGUCCCAUGAACUCAGAGGGAAAGGAGCUUUAUUAAGAAAAACAAAUAACCAAUAAGGCCUUAUUAAAAAUAGGCAAUAGAGGAGGGAUACUGACUUAGCGGCUGGAAGAAUUUGAUUUUCCUCUAUUAUUAUUGAGGUUACCUAGUUCACUGUUCCUUUGAAAGUAUUUUCUCCUCAUUUUUAACUAUUGUGAUAGUCCUUUAAAAACUAUCAACAGAAAUGGAACCAUAACAUCAUGUUGACAUUUGAGGUACUUAUUUUAGGUAAGAAGUGAAAUACCUGUAUACAUCUUCUGAGUAAUUUUGUUGACUAAAAAUUGCAGGAUCACUCAAGUUGAAUGCUCUCUGGAUUGGACAACAGAAGGCCUGGUUCUGCCCUUAGCUCUGCUGUUCACUGGACUCACAUCUUCUGUUUGUCAGGAGUCAUCUCCAGGGAUGGAACAAGAAACACUUUGAAUAAGGAUGUGUCCAUCUCAGGGAGGGCAUGAGAAACCAUGGAAGCAGCUUAGCAUUUGUUCAUGAAACUAGGUAAGAGAACCCAGUUUUACCAUUCUGAGAGAUGCAGUUGAGUAUUUAAAGAUUCACAUUACCUGAGACUUUCUGGUAUCUUUUAUUUUUCUUUUCUUUUAUGACCACCCCAUGGCAUAUGGAGUUCCCAGGCCAGGGAUCAGAUCUGAGCCACAGUUGUGACCUAGGCCACAGCUGCAGUAAUGCUGGAUCCUUUAACCCAUGGUGUUGGGCCAGGGAUUGAACUUGUGUCCUGGAGCUACAGAGAUGCUGCUGAUCCCAUUGUGCCACAGUAGGAAUGCCUCUACU